AAAGAAAAGGAACCCCACCCUGCCGCAUCGAAGCCCCUCUCCCCCGCAUCCGCAUCUCCUCUCUGCCCUCCUGCGACCUAGGCUUAGGCGCCGCCGCCGACCUUAACACUGAGCUCCAGCGGCCAUAGCCGGCACGGAGGACCCUGCCGAGUUCACCUCGCCAUGCUUGUUAAUCCUUCCGGCCAGAUCCGUCCCUCCCUGCCUCCAACACCCGCGCCCAACCCAUCCCCCACGGCUAGGGUUUGGGGCGAGACCUCGUCUCCACCAUCGGCGUGCCUCCGAUGAGCUCCGGCGGCCACGGCCGAUGCGAAAGACGCUGUCGAGCUCUUCCCCAACCCCAUCGCCAGCGACCCGCACCCCCUCUCGCUCCACCCCCAUAGCUCGUUGACCAGCCUGCUCCGUCAGGUCAUGAACGGCGAGGCUGGGCAGGGAAGAGGAGGUUGCUGAUGAGGUUCGCCGGUCAGACAGGUGCAAGGGCGCCGAUCUCCCUCCUCGUGUUCCCGGACGACGCACAAGCCAUCCUUCCCUUUCUUCCGUGCGGCUCUACCUUGUCCUGACUUCUCCUCGCCGCGCCGCCGUCCGCUCGACCACAGCUUGCCCCCAUCCACAAAGGAGACAAGUAGCAGCAGCGCCCCAAAUCGAGGGAGGGAGGAUCCUCUCAGUCAACUAACAAAUGGAUGGUAAGACCAGGAGAAUAUAACUGAAGAAAUCUAUAGCAUUUUAACUGAAGGACAAACUGACUUAUCUUCAGUUAAGUGGCAUAUUAACUUUUCAUCAGUGAGGUCAAAAAAGCAAGAUUUAGAUGAUAUUUCGCAACAAUGUCAAUGUUAGAUUCUGAUUCACCAACAGUGCUCUUUAGGUUACAAAGGAUUUGAAUUGAGCGAUUCAACUCUGCCUUCAUCAGUACAAACAAUUCAUAAAAGAGAUGAAUUGGACUAAUCUACUCAGCAUCUCAUGACUUUAGAAGCACGAGUUCAUGAAAACUGAUAUCCACUAGGAUUGCUCUGCUCCUGUUGACAUGCGAGAGCUGUUUGAAGCGAACUGGAUGGUUGUCACCACUGAUUAAGCUGCCGAGCCCAAGAAUUGUGUCAGACUAUUGGCCAAGCUGUUCAAUUUCUCAACACCGUUCAGUUUUGUCAUUGGCCGCCCUUGCGUACACUCAACAGAGAAGGUGGUGGCUCGACAAUUUAAUAAGCCAGAUUUGUGGGAAGUGGAAUGCAUGUGUAACCAAACUGGGCUGGACCAAUCUUGAGGUUUUCCACGAAUUCUUUUAAAAAUGGUUCUUAAGCAAGGCACUGGGAAAUCGUGGAUAGCUGAUAUAUCCAGCAGCUACCGGUGGCGCUGGAUGUGGUCGCCUACUUUGUCGCACAACUCCUUUGACCAUCACGUACAACCCAACAUGGGUGUUGCAGGUUGUCAUACGGAUGUUCUUUGGACUACGAUAUUGACAUGAAGA